GCAUUGCCCGGCCAACCCCCUGCAGGAAACUGCAAGUGCAAACCGCCCCACGAUCCCCAUCCCCUGCCACAACAGACGCCGCACCAUUGGUGGCUACCGAAGCAAUGGCCUCCACACCAAUGUGGUGUGGCAUGUCCUAUGUGGUAGGGGAUGGCCCCAGGAAGCGGAAAUCCGGAGGCAGCUACCGCCACAAGGAGAGGCACCGGAGCCAAACAGCUUCAGUCCUCAUCGCUGCAGGGAAUUUAUCUACUACCUCCGUCUCCGUUUUAUAUCGUAAGAUUCUUUAGCCUGGUCUAAAUUCAUACAUUAAUGAAUAUAUAUAAUUUAUAUAUAUGCCUAGAUUUAUUAGCAUCAUGUGACUCUAGACAAGGCAAGGCUGAAAGUAUUUGCCACUCUUCAACAAGCCCCGGUUUCAAGUGAAUGCGAUCAUCAGCCACCGCUAGCAAGAGAGAAUGACCGAUCGUAGCACUCGCCUCAUGGCUCGCGGGGCAUGGGAUUCACUUGAACACUAAGAGCAAGUUUAAUGGUGAGCAAGAGAGAGGGGAUGAGAAAGAGGAUGUGCGAAGGUUCGGAUGCUCACCGGCGAGGCGACGAACGAGCGAGCGAGGAUACAACAGCAGGAAGCAGCAGGACACCGGCACCGGCGGGCAGGCGAAAUUGCGAGGAGACGAGAGUUGAGGCCGAGGGGACGGACGGGGAGAUCGGCUAGUGCCGGCGCGAGGAGCCAGAGGCCCGUUACGCCGUAGGGUCCCCA
rnacentral:lncRNA from 1 species